UUUAUUUCAGCAUGUCCAUGCAAAGUCGUGACAAAAAAAAGAAAGAAGUUAGCCGUUCUAUUGCUAAUCAACAAGAGAGAAACGUGCUUAUAGACAACUGCCAUAACUACACUUGGCCUAUGGAUAAUAGCAUGCUUUCGAAUGCUGAAGAUGACGAAUUCCCCUCUUUACCGGUUACUCCGUGCAAACCUCCACCCUCCAAAAAACCCAACAUGAACUCUGACAUCGUGGCUACCCUCUCCUUACUCAUCAACUCCAGGUGUGACGCCAUUGAGAAAAUGGUAGGCGCGAACACCAUGGUUAUCGAAGGCUUGAAAAAGACGAGUUUGCAUGUGGUGAAAUUAAGGAUGUGAAAACGAGAGUGGCAAAAGUUGAAAAAAAUAUGGAAAGGGUGGAAAAGAAUAACAAUGUCUACCAUAGACGUCUCACUGAUCUGGAACAAUACACAAGAAAAUGGAACCUGAGACUCUACGGCUUGCCAGAGGUGGAGAAUGAAGAUGUGCGAGGAGAGGCUAUCCGUAUCUGCCAAUAAGUUUUGCCUGCAGAGAAGAACAAAGUUGGUGAUAACAUCGACGUUGUGCAUCGCCUCGGCAAGAAGCAAAAGCAAAGCGAUUCAAGACCCAGGGGUAUCAUCAUCAUAUUCACUACCAGAUUCUACAGGGAUGCUGUCUGGAAAGCUGCUAGGAAGAACGCCUUCCUUCAGAGCCAUGGUAUGCGUUUCGCCGAGCAUCUCAGCUCGGAAGACAUAGAAAGAAGGAACAAGUUGUGGCCAACGAUCAAGAUAGCACGAAGUGAGGGGAAGGCUGCUUACUUCGUCGGAGGACGAGGUUUCAUCAACGGUUCAGAAAUCCAUAUUCCUCCCUAAAAUCUCACCAGAAGGAACAGGUUGAUGGUUUCAGCCAUGAUGCCUGACUAGAGGCGCGAUAGCACCUACACCCCUGCCAUCGACUUGGGUUGGAAGAGCUCAUGGUGUCUGGGUGCAGUUUUGCAGCUGUUAGCUGGAACCUGUCACCCUGAUCUGCCACAAACAGCUGUUUCAGUGGACCUCCUGCGCCAGUUUGCAGCCCUUCAGCUGGAGUGUGGGGUACCCAGAAUUUCAAGCCGGGGAUGCGCUGCGAUCCAGAAACUGGAUAUAACUGGUGUGUUUGGGAUGGCGUGCAGGCACGAGCAUCCACUGAAGUUCCUGAACCUGAAAAGAGGAGAGAAAUAAACAGUCCCGAUCUGAAGGUUGGACACCACAUUUGCAGUCCAGGACUUUCAUGCCUAUGCUCAUAAUGCUGACUGUCAGGUCACUGAUGGUACCAAGUAUUUGACUGGUAGUGGGCUUGCUGACGGAAAACAUAUGGAGAGGUUGUGGUCCAACCUUAUAACAUUUGGGAAGAGCACGAAAGAGAUGAUACCUUCUCAUCGUAUCGAUGCCUUCACUGUGCCUUCUAAAAUGCUGCCAGGGUCAGAGAGAAACAAGAUAUAAACGUGUAACAGGAAAUCAGUUAGCACCGGCAAUACAACUCUGUCGGCAGAAGGCCAUGAAGGAGGAAACCAAGGAGAAGUUGAUGGUAUGGCUAGACAACAUUCCAGGCCCAGGAGAUGGCAGUCCAUAACAAGUCCAAUUUAUAUGUUUGGGAAGUACCUGAAACGUAUCCGUUUCCAUGGCAGAGGAAUGUUUGCGAUCAUGGAUAAAGUGCACUGCCACUACUUUGUCAAGCUGGUGGAAGGGCUCCCAUCUAAAGUGGAACAGAAGACAGGCUAUUUCAAUCGCACCAUUAUCCACACACGAUAGGGCAACUAAUACACUCUGUUUGUGAUUUGAUAUUUGUCGUAAAUAAAUCAUGUAUUAUAUUUGCUG